rnacentral:pre_miRNA from 1 species
AGUACACGGGGUAUGGGUAGUGCUUCCAGCAAGGAUUAUAAUUAUAAAGUCCAUUUAAGCACUACCUGUGCACCUGUGUGCCCA